CUCGUAGGCGGUUUGUCACGUCUGCUGUGAAAGCCCGGGGCUUAACCCCGGGUGUGCAGUGGGUACGGGCAGACUGGAGUGCAGUAGGGGAGACUGGAAUUCCUGGUGUAGCGGUGAAAUGCGCAGAUAUCAGGAGGAACACCGAUGGCGAAGGCAGGUCUCUGGGCUGUUACUGACGCUGAGGAGCGAAAGCAUGGGGAGCGAACAGGAUUAGAUACCCUGGUAGUCCAUGCCGUAAACGUUGGGCACUAGGUGUGGGGAACAUUCCACGUUUUCCGCGCCGUAGCUAACGCAUUAAGUGCCCCGCCUGGGGAGUACGGCCGCAAGGCUAAAACUCAAAGGAAUUGACGGGGGCCCGCACAAGCGGCGGAGCAUGCGGAUUAAUUCGAUGCAACGCGAAGAACCUUACCAAGGCUUGACAUACACCGGACCGCCCUAGAGAUAGGGUUUCCCUUCGGGGCUGGUGUACAGGUGGUGCAUGGUUGUCGUCAGCUCGUGUCGUGAGAUGUUGGGUUAAGUCCCGCAACGAGCGCAACCCUUAUCCUAUGUUGCCAGCACGUGAUGGUGGGGACUCAUGGGAGACUGCCGGGGUCAACUCGGAGGAAGGUGGGGAUGACGUCAAAUCAUCAUGCCCCUUAUGUCUUGGGCUUCACGCAUGCUACAAUGGCCGGUACAGUGGGUUGCGAUACUGUGAGGUGGAGCUAAUCCCUAAAAGCCGGUCUCAGUUCGGAUCGAAGUCUGCAACUCGACUUCGUGAAGUUGGAGUCGCUAGUAAUCGCAGAUCAGCAAUGCUGCGGUGAAUACGUUCCC
rnacentral:rRNA from 1 species